GCUCAGAUUGAACGCUGGCGGCAUGCUUUACACAUGCAAGUCGAACGGUAACAGGCCGCAAGGUGCUGACGAGUGGCGAACGGGUGAGUAAUGCAUCGGAACGUGCCCAGUCGUGGGGGAUAACGCAGCGAAAGCUGUGCUAAUACCGCAUACGAUCUAUGGAUGAAAGCGGGGGACCGUAAGGCCUCGCGCGAUUGGAGCGGCCGAUGUCAGAUUAGGUAGUUGGUGGGGUAAAGGCCCACCAAGCCAACGAUCUGUAGCUGGUCUGAGAGGACGACCAGCCACACUGGAACUGAGACACGGUCCAGACUCCUACGGGAGGCAGCAGUGGGGAAUUUUGGACAAUGGGCGCAAGCCUGAUCCAGCAAUGCCGCGUGCAGGAAGAAGGCCUUCGGGUUGUAAACUGCUUUUGUACGGAACGAAACGGUCUGGGUUAAUACCCUGGGCUAAUGACGGUACCGUAAGAAUAAGCACCGGCUAACUACGUGCCAGCAGCCGCGGUAAUACGUAGGGCGCAAGCGUUAAUCGGAAUUACUGGGCGUAAAGCGUGCGCAGGCGGUUUUGUAAGACAGUCGUGAAAUCCCCGGGCUCAACCUGGGAAUUGCGAUUGUGACUGCAAAGCUGGAGUGCGGCAGAGGGGGAUGGAAUUCCGCGUGUAGCAGUGAAAUGCGUAGAUAUGCGGAGGAACACCGAUGGCGAAGGCAAUCCCCUGGGCCUGCAC
rnacentral:rRNA from 1 species